UACGGAGGGUGCAAGCGUUAUCCGGAUUUACUGGGUUUAAAGGGUGCGUAGGUGGGCAGGAAAGUCCGUGGUGAAAUCCCCAAGCUUAACUUGGGAACUGCCGUGGAUACUAUCAAUCUUGAAUAUCGUGGAGGUAAGCGGAAUAUGUCAUGUAGCGGUGAAAUGCUUAGAUAUGACAUAGAACACCAAUUGCGUAGGCAGCUUACUACACGAUCAUUGACGCUGAGGCACGAAAGCGUGGGGAGCAAACAGG
rnacentral:rRNA from 1 species